GGUUUUAUAACACUAGUCUAUUUGGGAAAACGAGUAUAGUAAUAACAAAUGCAGAUUUCUGGGUAUUAUUUAUUUCAGUGUUGUUAGGAGUAGGACGUAUCAAUGCAAACAGAUAUAGGAUUUUUUACUCUGCAUUGAAAGCAAAGGCCUCAUCCAUACAGGGUUGUUUUCCUCAGAUCAGGAAGGGAAACUUCAGGUUCAAUGGAGAUGCUCAAGAUGACUUGAACUCAUUUCUUGACACCCUCACAUGUUUGCAAAGGUCACUUCGCCAUUUUUCCAAUCUUCUAUCAGGCAUGUCUGCUGCGUACCACACCCCUGCUCCAAUUGAGCCAUUCAGUGGUUAUUAUUGCAGUCCUGGGUUUAGAGAGGCUUCUUACAAUCCUACCUACCAUCCCACUAUGUCAAGUUCUGCUCAAUCUCCUAACCCUCCAGUCUCAAGACAUGAUGAACCUACCAUGUUUGCAGGGUACCUUUCACCAAAACAGUAUCAACCGUCAGUUCAUGAGAGCACAGGUGCUACACAUACCGUCAUGCCUUGGUCAAGUCAGGAUCCCUACACUCGAUCCUCCCAUGCCACUCCAUCCAGCUCUGCUCUUUCGUGUAACCCUCCAGUCUCUGGAUAUCAUCAACCUGCCAUGUCGAGACGGCACAUUUCAGAUGCACCAUAUCAACCAAUGAUUGUAGAGCGGUCAGGAUCUAGCCGACCUCCGCCUAGUAAAAAUCAAUCCACUACAGGAUUCCAUUCAGCUUCCCAUUAUCCACCAAUUGCAUGGGAAAGAACAAGUAGACCAGCUUUUUCCAGUCAGGUAUCACAUUCCACCAACUUUUUGUUCCCAAUCCAAAGUACAAGCAGUAGUGGUAGAGACCACCCUCAACAGCAACCCAUGGGUGAUGUAUACUAUCCAAGAAGGACAUUACCACCAUCAGAU